AGUAUAUUCGACAUUUGUACGAGUACCACCAGCAAUUACACCUUUAAAACAGGCAAUCCUUUACAUCAGUCCAACAAUAGUGAAAAUGACCUGGUCUAUCUCUUACCAUCAUGCUCCACCUGUCACGCUAUUUACGGCGGCAAACUAAGUGAAGGAGAGCCCAGUAAAAUAUUUUUCCUGUUUUCUCGAGAACACACCGUUUCAGCAUCAGCAGUGGAUUUGUUUAAAAAGCAAGCUGAGUGUCUGGGAUUAUCUGAACCGUUCAUCUUCUACAAUACAACAUCAGAAUUGUGCCCGGAGGAUACAAAGGAUAGUGAAGAGGAGCAA